AGAGUUUGAUCAUGGCUCAGGGUGAACGCUAGCGACAGGCUUAACACAUGCAAGUCGAGGGGCAGCGGGGAGUAGCAAUACUUCGCCGGCGACCGGCGCACGGGUGAGUAACACGUGUGCAACCAACCCCGUACCGGGAGAUAACCCGCGGAAACGUGGACUAACAUCCCAUAAGACUCUAGAGCCGCAUGGCUUUGGAUUUAAAUUCCGGUGGUACGGGACGGGCACGCGCGACAUUAGGUAGUUGGCGGGGUUAACGGCCCACCAAGCCGACG
rnacentral:rRNA from 1 species